GGUACUUAUUUGAAGUUGAACAUGAACAAUGUGUUGGCAGGUUUAUAGGCUACUGACCUUCAAUGCAUUGAGGUAGGAACACAGCUGUGAAUAUCAAACCACAUAAAAUAGAGAAAUCAGCUAGAGAAGCAACCCAUAGAGGCAUAAAUGUAGCAAUCUUUCUCCAAGGAUAUAUCAACUGAAAACAGAUAGUAAAAAUUAUAUGAUCUAUCUGCUGACUGUUCAAGAGACCAUUAGACAUCCCACAAUUUUUACCUUUUCUUCAGUAGGUUCGUAAUUUAUACUUUCUUCUAUAUACUUUCGUUCUGAUUCACUCAUGUGUUUAUCUUGCGACGGUUCAUUUUUGACAACAAUUAACCAAAGGCAAGACCAUAUGAAUGAAGCCAAUCCUAUUGCCAGUGUUUUCAUUUAGUCAAGAUGCAAUAUCUAAUGCUGAUAAUCCAACCCUUGCCUGUGGUUUACUCACCACUGUAAUAAAACAACGUUUGCCAAUCACAUUUUCCCAAGAUUAUGCCGGAUAGUGGGAAUGAUACAAUAGAACCAAAAAAAAUACCAACUUCUCCAAAUGAAACAAACCUGGAAUGUUCUUCAAGUGGAGCCCAUCGUGCAAUUAUUUCUGGCACUCCUGUAAUAAUAAGUGCCUAAACAUACUGCAUGGAUUACAAUUGCUUUGCAAUGUU